AUAACACCUGCAGAGGAGCCUGACGUAAGACAUUACGGGGUAGAAAAACUCAAUUGAAAGCAGUUAUAUUUAUAUGCGCGCGAGACGAGCGCGGGUUUUAUAGAGCGGAAUAAGUAGAAACGCCAGUGAGGAAUCAAUCUUUCGGACUAAUUGGAAAUAGCUUCGGAAAAUUGCGAUUCUCAGCGAGGCACUCACGUCUCGUAAUGCUGUCCCAAGUGAAAAACGACGGAUCUGGCCAGACGUGCUGAUUGACGGCCGCUUUAAGUACAGCAAUUAAAGAGUCCGCGAAAUUACUUUACUAAACAUACGCUUUAUUUAUUGUCACAGCUGCGCGGGACAGAUGCAUUACUCUCAUACGUUUUCUCUGCAACAAUUGAAAUAAAAAUAUAUAAACAAUCGAUCGAUAUCAUUCGUUGACGGAUUUAGCAGCCUUGUCAACAAAGUUCGCCAGCUUAACAUCUCGCGAGGAUAAACCGUUGACGUCGUGGGACGAUAACGUGAUGUUGACUUUGUUGUAGACGUUGAACCAUUCCGGGUGGUGGUCCAUCUUCUCGGCCUGCAUCGCGACUCGCGUCAUGAAUCCAAAGGCCUGUGAAAGUCGUUGAAGGUAAAAAAUCAGUGUCUCUCUUAUCUUUCAAUUGCGAUGGAGAUUUAAUUCAAGCUCGUACCUGGUUAAAAUUCUUGAAAGCGAAUUCCUUGUACAGGGCAUCCCUGUUGGUUUGGACGGUCCAGCCAUUCGUCAACAGAGGACUGAUGUCCUUCUCUCUUUCUUCGGCGGUUAGUUUAGGCUGAAAUUAAUAGCGAACGAUUGAUGAGAACGCGGAUAAGUAUAUGCAGUAGGCGUGUCGCUAACAGAUUAUGCGCAACAAGCAACUAAGUACUCGUGCGUCACAUUUUACUCUAGUGAUUUACAGUAAUACUGCUACUUGGCCUCGUACGUUAUACCUAUUGCCCGCCGGAAAGGAGCAUUAUUUUAUUAGAAUUGUCAUAAGUAUAAUCUUCUUUACAGCAUUUGUAAUUCAAAUCAUAUUCAAGGUCAGGAUGUAGUUCCGUCACUGCGGAAACACAUCAGCCUUUCAAGAAACGAGUUUAUUCGUAUACGCGGAUAUAAAUACGAGAUGCAAGUGGAAACUUUUACAAGUUAAAGCUGCCCGUAUACAUCACGAUGUAAAAUGUAUAUACGAAUCUCGAUAAAAAGCAUUUCAAUUUCAGAAUCUCGGACGACUUUUAUCACACAUACACACGCGCCUUUCACUUUUUGCCUUCUUGCGAAAUAUUGAUUGUGCCGAUGAAGUAAAUAAGUGAGCGCGACCACUUGUUGAAAUUCCGACGCUAGAUCUUCGGGUAUAAAGCUCUACUACCUUUACCUAUACGAAAUAUAACAAUUGAAUCGCACAGGCGAAUGGAAGCAAAGAAUCUACGUGUUGAAUUUCAGUCAGUAAUUGGCUUUCUCCGAGUAAAUAAUUAGGACACUUACCAUUUUCUGUUUCUUCGAUGCGAGAGUCGCCUGCUGUCGUUCGAGCGUCUGGAACACUUCUACCGGUUUUCGAGAUGGAACGCUGUUUUUGAACUUUUUAACGACUAACGAAAUGCCAACUGGGAAUUAUUAGAUAACUUGGAAGAGGGUUCGAUGAAAUGGCAAAAACAGAUUGCAAAGACAGGCGGAACACGAAUUUUGUCUGUCAAACUUGAGAUUUCCCGGGAGCGGGAAUAGCACGCGUAUCACAGUUGGAUAGUUCGAAAAUGACUGAAGACAAAGAGUUGUACAAAACGAGUCUUAAUCUUUUAUUAAAAAUACACAUAAUUUAUAAACUUUAAAAUUUGUUUAACCCAAGUAUUAGUUCUUUUUCCUUUUAAAAACAACUUUGGGCAGCCCGGGCAAAGGUAACUUGAGCAUGACAACCUUUUUCUCUGUUUUAGAUGGAGUUGCUAGCAUCCAUCUCGCAAGGUCCAUGAGUUUUUUAUGACUCAUUCGGAACAUCAACGUGAA